AUGUUAAAAGCUAUAUGUAUUGAUCGCCAUAACAAUUAUGCAAGCGGACAUCGGAGAAAGAGGUGUUUAAUCGAUUCAUUUUGGCCACAAAAACAACAUCUGGAGUUACCAAUCCAAUUUCUUUUUAGCAAAUUAUCUUUGGUCAAAAUAACUCCCUUGUGCACGAACUACAUAAAGAUUUUGAUGCGAAGCGGAACUUUAAUCUUCCACAUGUGUAAAGACCUCGACAAUGGACCGGAAUCAAUUAAGUCCAAAUACAUGGAUUUCACAGAGAAAAUUCCAUUCGAGGUUAACUUCCAACUGAUUGUAUCUGACUGGUCUGAAAGUUGA
rnacentral:rRNA from 1 species